rnacentral:piRNA from 1 species
UUCAUCGAUUGUAUCAUGUUCCUGC